rnacentral:tRNA from 1 species
UGGGGUAUAGUUCGAUGGUAGAGUGCUUAUCUAGAAUAUGUGAGGCCCUGGGUUCAAUUCCCAGAACCACAA